UACUACAAGUUAUAGAGCUAUAGUCACUCUAGUCUAGGUCUAGUCAAUCUAGACUUUCAUUAAUAUAAUAGAUCUAUUAUAAAUAAUUAUAUGAGCUGUACUUCUUGAUAUCAAUGAAUUUUUGCAUAUGUUCUUCAACUCAUGGCAGCAAUGGCAGCAGCCAUGGAAAUUCAAUUGGAAUGAGUUGAAGAUAUCUACUUGGUAGUCUAAACCUCAAAGGAGCUUAGGGAAGUGAUGGCAGUUGCAGGGUAUGAACCAGACGACCAUGCAGAGACCAACGAGGCGACCAAACAGUCCAUCGUGCAUACCACAUAACCAGGUCCAGAAUGCCAGUUUUCUUUAAGGGCAGCUGACAAUAAGAAUUGUCUAUGUAUGCACUACAGAUGCUGUUCAAUAUCUUUUCAUGAGGAAGCCUGCUCAAAAAGAUCGCCACAUUUUCUUUAGGGGAAGUUGACAUUAAUCUUUUAGGUUAAUAAUAACCUAUGCAUGCAGUACAGAUGCUGUUCAUCAUCUUUUCAUAAGCAAGCCUGCUCAAGAAGCUGCUGCAUGGAAGUCAAAAUAUGAAUUAUUGCCACCAGUCUUGAAGUCAGCUUGUAAAGAAUGCUAAGAAUUGAAUGAAAAUGCUGUCUUGAUAUCUUGUUUGUGCUGUUAUAUUUGUCUUUUGUGUUGGUUAAUUAUUCCAUGAAUAAAAAAUAAAAAAAAGUUAA